AGCAUUGUAGCUCAGAGGUAGAGCACUGGGCUCAUAACCCAGGGGUCCUAGGAUCGACACCUAGCAAUGCUA